UGUCACUCAACAUUAAUUUGUUAUAGGAUAUGGUGAGUUUACUAGAAAAGAAGAUUGAAGAAAUGCAAUUGGAAGAGUUGCAGCUUCAAUUCAAAGAAACUGAAAAGAUGCUAGUGAAGGAACAAGAGGCUGUGAAAGAAGCAGCAAACCAAAUUCCUGUCAUAUAGGAGGUCCCAGUCAUUGAUAGUGUGCUGUUGGAUAAACUGACUUUUGAAAAUGAACAACUGAAGGCCAUGGUGAGCGCACUGGAAAAGAAGAUAGAUGAAACUGAAAGAAAGUAUGAAGAAACACACAGGCUUAGUGAAGAAAUGCUUAAGCAGGCUAUGGUUGUAGAGUCAAAGAUAAUUCAAUUGAAGACUGACAUGCAGAUGUUCUUACUAGAAGAAAAGCUCUUGGACAUGGAGACCGUGGAUAUUCUAAGGUAGCAGGCCUUGUUAAAAACACCUUUGAUAUAUUAGUGAUGAAAGAAGGUGUAAGUUCUCAACUAGAGGUGAUAUUGGCAGUGCAAAUAUAGUAUGCAGGCAGAACAACACUGUAGACAAGGUAUGCAAGUGAUCCCUUUGAUUCAAUUAUUUCUAUGGUGUGUAGGAAGAGAGGGAAGUCAUUCUUCAAGAGAAAAAAAAUUACAAGAGGUUAUUCUACCCAUCACCAGAUGGCCAAAAAGCCUCUGGUUUCUUGGAAUUUGU